GCCUGGGUGGCUCAGUUGGUUAAGUGUCUGACUUUAGCUCAGGCCACGAUCUCUCGGUUCAUGGGUUCAAGUCCCAUGUCAAGCU
rnacentral:tRNA from 1 species